UUUGUGACUAGAACACCAAGUAAACUGAUGUAAUUGUCACGUUGUAAUUUUGAGGGAAAUCGUAUUCAUUGUAGCGUUGUAGCCGAAGUUGUGCAAGAUUUCCGAUAAUUCAACAACAAUGUCCUUGCGAAAGAUCAACGUUAAAAAUCUGAUGGAGUUGUCAGAUUCUCAUUCUGUGCAUCGAGAAGCCAACGAGAGGAGUCGGGCUCUUCUGGAGUCUUUGUCGACCAAAACAAUAAUCUUCCUCAAUCCAUAAAACGAAACUAUCUUCCAAUUAGUGAAGAGCAACGAGGUGUUUGACUGAACACUGUGCUUCCAGAACUUGGAAGGAAACAUUAGGGGGUCAAGGAUCUUGUGAAAACCCUCACUUUCCAAUCAUGCACAAAUAUACUUUUCACACGGCGCUUCGCCGCUACAAAGCCCACCGUUUGGUCCUGCGUAGGGAAGGAUUUAGGAAAUGAAUACUAUAACAAUACAUUCAACAUUCUUGUUUGUAAGAUGUUCUAAUGUUUUUGAGCCAGUCAAAAUAUUUCACAAAAAGUUACGUUUAAGUUGAAUGAAGAUAAUUUUGUAUAAAUAUGGUACAACAGAUGUUCCAUAAUAAUUACAUUUGCGCGUCAUGUCUAACCUUUAAUGUAUUAAAAUGUAAUUUCUUCAACGUUUCUUAGACAAUUCUCGAAAAUCCCAAUUUUCAAUGUUUCAAUUUUUUCAUCCUAGUAAAUCUCUUACAGAGUUCAGAGUUAAAACGCUU